rnacentral:rRNA from 1 species
UCAUUACCGAGUGCGGGCCCCUCGGGGCCCAACCUCCCACCCGUGUUGCCCGAACCUAUGUUGCCUCGGCGGGCCCCGCGCCCGCCGACGGCCCCCCUGAACGCUGUCUGAAGUUGCAGUCUGAGACCUAUAACGAAAUUAGUUAAAACUUUCAACAACGGAUCUCUUGGUUCCGGCAUCGAUGAAGAACGCAGCGAAAUGCGAUAACUAAUGUGAAUUGCAGAAUUCAGUGAAUCAUCGAGUCUUUGAACGCACAUUGCGCCCUCUGGUAUUCCGGAGGGCAUGCCUGUCCGAGCGUCAUUGCUGCCCUCAAGCCCGGCUUGUGUGUUGGGCCCCGUCCCCCCCGCCGGGGGGACGGGCCCGAAAGGCAGCGGCGGCACCGCGUCCGGUCCUCGAGCGUAUGGGGCUUCGUCACCCGCUCUAGUAGGCCCGGCCGGCGCCAGCCGACCCCCAACCUUUAAUUAUCUCAGGUUGACCUCGGAUCAGGUAGGGAUACCCGCUGAACUUAAGCAUAUCAAAAGGGGGAAGGAA